rnacentral:tRNA from 1 species
CGUUCCAUAGUAUAGUGGUUAGCACGUCUGCUUUACAUGCAGAAGGUCCUGGGUUCGCACCCCAGUGGAGCCA